GGUGUUCUCUGGGCAAAACUUCUUGGCGGUUUCAACAAAUCCAUUAUUGAGCAGAAACGAUGAAAUCAGCUCGUUUAGAAAUUCUUGACGCUGUUUUAACUCUUCCUGCUUUGGUGACUUAGUUGCCUGUUCAAAUAAUUUGUUUUUCUCCAUUUGAAUAGCAUAAUCAAUGUCGUAAAGAAAUGGGUUCUGUCCGAAAUUAACCUCAACAUGUUCACCAUGACUUUUCAAUCCGAUAACAGGGUACAAAACGUCGCUGACUUUCUUAAAUGCUACACCCAAAUAGGCACCAUUUUUGGUGUAGAAAAUUGUCCUGUUGAUAAAAUUAACUCCACAGCCUAUAAUGUCACCAGUGGUAAAUUCAGGUCCAUAAGCUUCACCCGUUUUAGAGCAAUUAAAUUUCUCACCACUGUUUCCGUGGUAUCCCCAGCUUUCUGCUGUACAACCUGGAAGCCUAUUAGUUUGCAUGCUCUUCCGACAAAAUCCAACACCCAUUUUUCCCUCUUUUCCUCGAGAUAAAAUUUGAAUUUCAUAAUAGUAGAUAGAAGUGUUUGAUGGAAUUGCAUGAUCAGCUUUUACAGACGCCGCAUCAUGUUCAGUGCCGGCUUCAGGACCUAUUAAAGAUUAGUUAUAAACCAUUAUAAUUAAUACAACGAACCAAAGAAAUAAACCCCCAUGUUGUUAUUCAUCAAUUCUAAUGAAUCUGACUUAUCGUUGGGAUUCCAUGAAGAUGGAAUGGCUUUCGGCGUAUUUGUUACAUUGCCCUCCCUUGUCAUGUCAAACUCUCGUAAAUACUUCUCCCAUUUCAGCCAUCGUGGGUCACUUCUAAGCACAUUUUCUCCGUAAUUGGUUCCUUGUAAAUACAAGGGGAGAUUGUCGAAGUUAAUCGGCUGUUUUUCAAGAUUCUUUGGUGUACUAGUCA